UGCAUGAUUUUUAAAAGACUUACCUAAUUCGAGAGUAAAUGAACGGUUGAAGUAAGAAACAUAAAAUAUAAUUUUUUUUUUCUUUAUAAACUAUUUAUGUACUUAGUAUUCUUACAAUAUGUAUAGCUAAAUAAUAUAUUAAAAGGUUAAAAUUCAAUUUAUUAUGAUAUUAUGUAGAUCACUUUAAUAUAAUGUAAAGGCUAAUGAGUAUAAAAUUAAGGAAUAUUUCAUUAGUUAUCUAAUACAAUUUGUAAAUUUCAGUUACUCCUACAGAAAUCAAAGUUAAUUUUGAAUUAUUAAUAUUAUU